rnacentral:rRNA from 1 species
UACGAAGGGGGCUAGCGUUGCUCGGAAUCACUGGGCGUAAAGCGCACGUAGGCGGAUUGUUAAGUCAGGGGUGAAAUCCUGGAGCUCAACUCCAGAACUGCCUUUGAUACUGGCGAUCUUGAGUCCGGGAGAGGUGAGUGGAACUGCGAGUGUAGAGGUGAAAUUCGUAGAUAUUCGCAAGAACACCAGUGGCGAAAGGCGGCUCACUGGCCCGGUACUGACGCUGAGGUGCGAAAGCGUGGGGAGCAAACAGG